rnacentral:rRNA from 1 species
GAGUUUGAUCCUGGCUCAGGAUGAACGCUGGCGGCGUGCCUAAUACAUGCAAGUCGAGCGAACAGAUAAGGAGCUUGCUCCUUUGACGUUAGCGGCGGACGGGUGAGUAACACGUGGGUAACCUACCUAUAAGACUGGAAUAACUCCGGGAAACCGGGGCUAAUGCCGGAUAAUAUUUAGAACCGCAUGGUUCUAAAGUGAAAGAUGGUUUUGCUAUCACUUAUAGAUGGACCCGCGCCGUAUUAGCUAGUUGGUGGGGUAAUGGCUUACCAAGGCAACGAUACGUAGCCGACCUGAGAGGGUGAUCGGCCACACUGGAACUGAGACACGGUCCAGACUCCUACGGGAGGCAGCAGUAGGGAAUCUUCCGCAAUGGGCGAAAGCCUGACGGAGCAACGCCGCGUGAGUGAUGAAGGUCUUCGGAUCGUAAAACUCUGUUAUUAGGGAAGAACAAAUGUGUAAGUAACUGUGCACGUCUUGACGGUACCUAAUCAGAAAGCCACG